rnacentral:rRNA from 1 species
GAUGAACGCUGGCGGCGUGCCUAAUACAUGCAAGUCGAGCGAACAGACGGGGAGCUUGCUCCUCUGACGUUAGCGGCGGACGGGUGAGUAACACGUGGAUAACCUACCUAUAAGACUGGGAUAACUUCGGGAAACCGGAGCUAAUACCGGAUAAUAUAUUGAACCGCAUGGUUCAAUAGUGAAAGACGGUUUUGCUGUCACUUAUAGAUGGAUCCGCGCCGCAUUAGCUAGUUGGUAAGGUAACGGCUUACCAAGGCAACGAUGCGUAGCCGACCUGAGAGGGUGAUCGGCCACACUGGAACUGAGACACGGUCCAGACUCCUACGGGAGGCAGCAGUAGGGAAUCUUCCGCAAUGGGCGAAAUCCUGACGGAGCAACGCCGCGUGAGUGAUGAAGGUCUUCGGAUCGUAAAACUCUGUUAUUAGGGAAGAACAAAUGUGUAAGUAACUAUGCACGUCUUGACGGUACCUAAUCAGAAAGCCACGGCUAACUACGUG